CCCAGACUCCUCGCGGCGCCUUCGACCGGUCCGCCUCGCAGGCGUGGUGAGCUAGGUCGGCCGGCGGCGUGUGCUUAUCCCCUUCCUCGUAGCUUUGCCGGCGCCCGAAGCUGCUGCUGCUGGUGCCGCUGCCGGCAUGACCACCGAGCGCGGAUCCGGCGGCCACCGCCCUGCUCCGAGUGGAUCCGGCCGCCACCACCCUGCUCCACGCGGAUCCGGCCGCCACCGCCCUCCCCCGCGCCGCGCAGGCGCGUGCGCCGCUCUAUCCGCCGGCCUGGAGCACGGCCGGAGGGAGCACGGAGCAGGGGAGAGCCAGGCCGAGCACGGCACACGCCGCCGCCUCCGUCGGCACCCGGGCCUCCGCCAGGACCAUCAAGCCGACCCACGCCGACGCCGGGGUUCAGGAGACCGGGCCGAGCCGCUGUCUCAUCAUCCAGCAGCGCGCGGGCGGCUUGUCCCCGUCCCCGUCCCCGCGCUCCUCGUCGCUACCGGCAGAGACAAAGAAGAACACCAAUAGAGCCCUCCGAAGCAACGCACCGGCAACGAAGAAGAAGAAUCGAAUCAGCAGGUUAUGAUACCUGUAACCCAGAUUUACUCGGUAUGGAGGAUACGUUAGCUACAGCUAAACCUCAGUCAUCUGAUCACCAACCUCCUCUGCCGAAUGAAGGAGUUCGGGCUGUUACCAAUAAAGUAGACAGUGAAGUUCACCCGAACGAGAUUUGGAAUUGAUUAUUUCGAUGUUCUUAAAUUUUCUUAACUCCUUAUUUAUGUUAGCCUUAAUGCUAAACAAGAGAAGCGUGCAGGUUGCCAAGAGCAGGCCAACAGAUUGGAUUUCAGGAUUUCCAAUUACAAAUAGACGUUUGCAGGUUAGGAUCAUCAUAUGCCACAUGAAGUGUGUACAUCUCUACUGUGGUUAUAACCUUUUGAAUCCAUGUCGGGUCCAGAUUAUAAAGAACAAUGACCUUCAACUGGUUCUGGAACUUUUGGAACUGUAUAUAAUGGUAAAUAGAGAGGCACUGAUGCUGCAAUAAAAAUAAUCAAUGACAGAUGUUUUGCUGGGAAA